rnacentral:sRNA from 1 species
UACGCUGUUCGCUGCGUGUACGGCGGCAA